rnacentral:rRNA from 1 species
UACGUAGGGUGCGAGCGUUAAUCGGAAUAACUGGGCGUAAAGGGUGCGCAGGCGGUUAUACAAGUUGGUAGUGAAAAGCCUGGGCUUAACCUGGGUCGUGCUAUCAAAACUGUAUGACUAGAGUAUGUAAGAGGGGGGUGGAAUUCCAAGUGUAGCAGUGAAAUGCGUAGAGAUUUGGAGGAACACCGACGGCGAAGGCAGCCCCCUGGUAUAAUACUGACGCUCAGGCACGAAAGCGUGGGUAGCAAACAGG